UACGUAGGGUGCAAGCGUUGUCCGGAAUUAUUGGGCGUAAAGAGCUCGUAGGCGGUCAGUCGCGUCUGCUGUGAAAACUCGGGGCUUAACCCCGGGCCUGCAGUGGGUACGGGCUGACUAGAGUGCGGUAGGGGAGACUGGAAUUCCUGGUGUAGCGGUGAAAUGCGCAGAUAUCAGGAAGAACACCAGCGGCGAAGGCGGCACUCUGGGCCGGAACUGACGCUGAGGAGCGAAAGCGUGGGUAGCAAACAGG
rnacentral:rRNA from 1 species